rnacentral:lncRNA from 1 species
UGUUUAGACUUAGUUUUUUUUCUUUACAUCUCCCAUCUAUCUAUUUUCUUUAGUUAUUCACUAGAGCAAUUAUGAUCUGGAAGUCGAUCCGGGGCAAGUGUUCGGAUCUAUUAUGACAUAGCCGGGAGGCGCUUAACGGACCUUUUUAAUCUUAUAAACCCCUUUUCUUGGCUUUGAAUAGACUCAAAAACAAUUUUUUGUGCAAUCUAGUGUAUUCAUAUCUCAAUUAUACGUUGCUAAACGGAACUGCUUUAUACUUUAUGUCUUGCAUGCAUAUAACAUAUUAAUAUGACUCUAUUCCGUACUCUAUUCAAAAUUUGGCGAGAAGUAAUUACUAAACUAAGAGACAUCUCAGUAUUUAUAUUUAGUUAUUUGAAGGUUUUUUAUUAGUUUUAAAAGUGGAAACGAAAAAGAUUCUCUACUUUAGCUGUAUAUUGAUCUGUAUAUCGUUUAUUCCUACGAAAUACUAGACGAAAUAGAACGAUCUUAGAAGGGAUAUAAUGAAAUUCUUUGAUUGGUUCUUCCCAGAAAAAGAUCCGUUUUAGUUAUUUGACCGAUAGGGACAACAAAUAAUUAAUUCUAACAAAUAGAAAAAAUGAAACUAAAUAACUAAAUAAAUAUAACAGUGUUCUUAUUCAAACCGCCUUGUAAUCUUCAACCAAUUCUGUGCUUCAAUAUAAUUACCAGGAGUAAGCGCUAUAGCUUGUUUCCAAUACUCGGCGGCUUGAUCGAACCAAGCCUCCGCAAUUUCCGAAUCCCCUUGCUGAACGGCCUGUUCUCCCCGGUUAAUUACAUGAUCGCACGUAAUGACAGAUCACGGCCAUAUUAUUAAAAGCUUGUGGUAAGAACGGGUUUCGUUCUAGUGCCCGAAAAUAAUAUUCUAAAGCUUUUGUAUGUUCUCCGUUCCUUGUAUGGAUAAGGCCUAUGUUAUAGAGUAUAUAACUUCGAUCAUAAGGAUCAAUUUCCAGUCGCAUAGCUUCAUAAUAAUUUUGUAAAGCUUCCGCAUAAUUUCCUUCGGAUUGAGCCGACAUCCGUUACGGUCGUCAUUCGAUUCAAAGAAUCUCCGUUCCAGAACCGUACAUGAGAUUUUCACCUCAUACGGCUCCUCCUUUAUGUGCAUAAUGAAAAAAAGACAUGGAAUCAAAAAAGAUUGAAAGAUUCUCAUUAUAAACUGAGCGGGGCUGGUGUUUUUACAAGAAAUCUCUAGCCAACCUUCUUGUAAAAGAUCUUUCCUUAACAUCAAGCAUGUUGGCAUUAUAUUAGAUAAAAAAGGCGACCCCAACAAUUUCUUUGUCUUCAACGCCCUAAAAUUUACAGGAAUUAGUCACUUCAACAGUCUUCGAUGGUUAUACGGGUAUCCAAAAUACGAACGAGAUGGAUGUUUGUUGUCCCAACCAUUCUUGUUAGUCCCGAUCCUGAUAAGUAAUAAGUAAAGGGAAUUAUUUCUAACAAAGUUUUCGUGUGUUGAUUCCUAGGAGUAGUGCUUCUUCCCCUAUGCCUCCUAUUGGUACUAGUGAAGUAGGGUUAACUUAACCUAUAGGUGUAACCUUUCGCUCAAUACUCUAGAAUCGACAAUCGAAGCAUCUGAGGCUGCAUUAAUCGGGGAUACACGACAGAAGGGGUUGCUUUAUUUACAAACUUCACCUUCAACAAGCGUAGAUUUUUUCAAUAAUUUUUCUUCCUAAUUUCGAAUAAUUAAUAAUAAUGUUGUCUUUCUCUUAAGACUGAGAGCGGUAAAAAAAAAAAAAAGAAAUAAAAAAAAUCAAAUCGCACCAUCUCUGUAAUAGGUGAAUGCCUCUUUUUCUCCUGAAGUUGUCGGAAUUAUUCGUAAUAAGAUAUUGGCUACAAUUGAAAAAGUUUUAUCAAUAAAAUUUCCAUUUAUCCCAGAUCUAGACAUAGGUGUAUUAAUCCAUUCUAUAAUUUUUUUGAAUUUCCUUUCGUGAGAAAAUGAUCUCACAAACAAAGGAAUUGUACAGUACGAAAUAACGUAAAAACGGAUUCAUUAAAAAAGACGCCCUUUUACUCCAAUUGUUUAUUUUUGACAGGAAUCAAUAAAAAAAAAAUUUCAUAUUUGAAUCCGAUUCGAUUUCAUCCAAAUGUAGUAAUAUAAAAAUGAAGGGAACUGUUCCUAUUUCAUUGAGGUUGAAGAAUCAAAGAAUUUCUCUUAGAGAUUAGGAUAAUUCGAGAAGUUUUGAUUCAAAAGAGGAAAAAGAAUCAAAUAAUAAUUCUAUGAUUAAAAUGGAAUCCCGUCUGCUUUGUGUUAUGUGUAUAGUGGGUAUACGCUAUACAAUCAAAUAGAAAAACCGGGGGGUGGUUCAUGAAUUUGGAAUAAAUCUAUGGGUUAAGAGGUUGAAGUAAGGAAUUCUUGUUGAAAAAUCGAAAACUGGAAAAGGAUUUUAGAAUUUUUAUGAAAAUAGAAUAAUAGUUUAAACUAAAUAGAAUCGUGGUAUAAAGGUAGCCAUUAAACAUAGUCUAAAAAAAUAGAACGAUCCGCGGAUUCGUUCCAAUUGAGUGAUUUAAUCCGGUAUAAAUAUUAGAAAGGGCGGAAACAUUAUCUUCGCAAACAUGAAUAGAUAUAUCUUUAUUUUACAAUUUUUUUUUUCAUAAAAAAAAUUAUCUUUAUCCCCAGCCUCGGAGGGAGGAUUUAUCUUUGAUGAAAACUUUUAUGCUUUUAGAGUUCCAUUUUUAGAGUGAAAAUGGAAUGUACAUACCUAUACAAAAUGAAUAUCAAUGGCUCACUAUUCACUCGGGUUUUGAGCC